GACGAACGCUGGCGGCGUGCCUAAUACAUGCCAGUAGAACGCACAAUUUAUACCGUAGCUUGCUACACCAUAGACUGUGAGUUGCGAACGGGUGAGUAACGCGUAGGUAACCUGCCUGGUAGCGGGGGAUAACUAUUGGAAACGAUAGCUAAUACCGCAUAAUAUUAAUUAUUGCAUGAUAAUUAAUUGAAAGGCGCAAUUGCACCACUACCAGAUGGACCUGCGUUGUAUUAGCUAGUAGGUGAGGUAACGGCUCACCUAGGCGACGAUACAUAGCCGACCUGAGAGGGUGAUCGGCCACACUGGGACUGAGACACGGCCCAGACUCCUACGGGAGGCAGCAGUAGGGAAUCUUCGGCAAUGGACGAAAGUCUGACCGAGCAACGCCGCGUGAGUGAAGAAGGUUUUCGGAUCGUAAAGCUCUGUUGUAAGAGAAGAACGGGUGUGAGAGUGGAAAGUUCACACUGUGACGGUAUCUUACCAGAAAGGGACGGCUAACUACGUG
rnacentral:rRNA from 1 species